GAUGAACGCUGGCGGCGUGCUUAACACAUGCAAGUCGAACGGAAAGGCGCCUGCUUGCCGGGGUACUCGAGUGGCGAACGGGGGUGUAACACGCGGGUGUUCUGCCCUGCACUUCGGGAUAAGCCUGGGAAACUGGGUCUAAUACCGGAGAGGACGAUGUUUUGGAUGCCAUUGUGGAAAGUUUUUCGGUGUGGGAUGAGCUCGCGGCCUAUCCGCUGGUUGGUGGGGUAAUGGCCUACCAAGGCGUCGACCGGUAGCCGGCCUGGGAGGGUAUACGGCAACAAUGGGCCUAAGGGACGGAGCAGACUCCUACGGGAGGCAGCAGUGGGGAGUAUUACGCAAUGAGGGCAAGCCUGAUGCGGCGACGCCGCGUGCGUGAUAACCGCCUUCGAGUUAUGAACUCCUUUCGCUAGAGACGAAGCGCAAGUGACGGUACCUGGAGAGGAAGCACCGGCUAACUACGUG
rnacentral:rRNA from 1 species